GUACAUGCGAUGAGCCCGCUCUAUGCAGAUAUCUUGGCCUGCUAACGAGGGGAUCCACUUGAUAGGUUCUUCCUGAGGAAACCGAGGCCUACCAACCUCAGAUGUCAUCUCCGUUAGUUUUGAGGGAAGAAGGCGGCCUCAUCUGUCUCUCGGGUAGUGGGAUGCCACAAUGCCAUUGUCACUGUCACUGCUCUGAGAUGUGAGAUUGGCCAGAGCAAGAGGAACGUUAUCUGGCUUUGUUCCUGUAGAAUAAUGAAAAUGAAUUACACAGAGGUGUGCAUUUGAAUGGGGGAUGUAAAAACACAGUAAUGCUCAAAAGGUUACGGUCUCCCUUCCUCACGACAAGCCCAAACAUGUCCCAGAGACUGUGCCAAGGCUGUUGUUACCUGCUAACACCACACGCAGAGCUCCCUUACUGCAAAGGAAUUAAGAUGCUCCGUGCCAUCCGCUGAUCCAGGUGCAUCUGCUGCGUGUCCCUUCCUCUGCGCCAAAUCCCGUUGCUCUGCAGGGAUCUAAACUCACGCCCCUCUGGUGUCACAUUCAGUGCUCAAAGUUGUAACCAUGUAACUAUACACAGGGACAUUUGUGACCUCUGGCUUCCUAACCAUGGGACUGACCGUGUGCUGAGUCAUAUUCACUAUUAAUUAAGUAUAGCGUAAAACCUGUAAUACUUGAUUACGUCAUUUUACUGCUGUUUGUUGUUUGUUUGUUUUGCUUUGCGUAUUUUAGUCUGGAAUGGCAAAUUCCAUGACCUUUUGUUUUACGUUGUUAAAACUUCAUUUUAUGAGACUGAUUAAAUGAACUAACCACGUAAUAAAGAGUUGCGUGUCACUAACCCAUAACACAAAUUAAUGUUUGUUAAAAGGUAGUACUGUUAACCUCUAUGUUUAGCCAUCACAGAAUUAUGUCCUCUGAUUAAGAAUCCUUUAAUAUUAUUCCUCAUUUUAUGCAAAUUAUUGUUUUCAAUUAGCCAAUUCACAUAUUCAUUAUCAUUGCCAUAUAUAUAUCCUUUAUUUACAAACCAUUGUCAUGUCUGUUUCACUA